rnacentral:rRNA from 1 species
GAUGAACGCUGGCGGCAUGCCUAACACAUGCAAGUCGAUCGGUAAGGCUCUUCGGAGUACACGAGAGGCGGACGGCUGAGUAACGCGUAGGAACACACCCUGCAGUGAGGGAUAAGACACCGAAAGGUGUUCUAAUACCGCAUACGGUCUUCGGAUUAAAGCAUUUAUGCGCUGAAGGAGUGGCCUGCGUCAUAUUAGAUAGUUGGUGAGGUAAUGGCUCACCAAGUCGAUGAUGUGUAGCUGGUCUGAGAGGAUGAUCAGCCAGACUGGAACUGAGACACGGUACAGAAUCAUACGGGGGGCAGCAGUGAGGAAUAGUGCACAAUGAGCGAAAGCUUGAUGGAGCAAUGCCGCGUGCAGGAUGAAGGCCCUCGGGUUGUAAACUGCUUUUAUAAGAGAGGAUUAUGACGGUAACUUAUGAAUAAGGGACGGCUAACUACGUG